CUUCUUUACUUUAACUUGAGUAACAGAGUGUAGUCACUACUUCUACUUUUACUGGAGUCUUUUAAAUAAUGAGUAUCUGUACUUCUACUUGAGUAAAGGAUGUGUGUACUUUUGCCACCUCUGAUCGUGACUGGCAGCAGACAGGUGGACUUUUUGACUCCUGGUUCUCGUUAAGGUUCUCCAGGUCUUAGGGCACUUAUUAAAUGAAGGCUCUUAUGUAGUACCUGUAGUGUCUGCUAGGGGGCAACAGCACACAAUCUAAUCAAUCCUGUGAACCUCAGAACUUAAUGUGUGGAAACGAACUAACAUCCAUUCAUUCACACCUGAUUCUGUUUUAAAUCAAACUGAGAAUAAAUGAAUUAUCCUGCACUUAAUUAUCCUACACAUAAGCACAUGGAUAUUUCUUGUGUAAUGGUGAAACACCAGUUUGAUUCAGAGUUGAUUCAGACCUGUCAUUUAUGCUGAUUUUUAUAUUCUUUAAUUAAAAUAAUGUGACUCACUAAAUACUCUGGACGGAGCUCUUAGAGGCACAAGGAAUAACAUAAAAAAAACUGUGUUGUGUGUUCCACUGGUCUGAAGUUCAGUAAAUGUUAUGAAUUUAUGAGAAAAGAAACUUUCACGCUCAAACUGAUUAGAUCGAUUCCAUCAGAUCAUAAUGUUGUCCAGAGAAAUAGAUUUAAAACCCAGUAAUGAUGGUGUGGUUCAGUCACAGCUCACAAACUUGGGGUAAUUAUGGACAAUCAACUGUAUGUAUGAUGCUAGAGAUUUAAACACUUCUGUACAUUGCUUUGGAUCUCUGCCAAGUGUGUGUGUGUGUGUGUGUGUGUGUGUGUGUGUGUGUGUGUGUGUGUGUGUGUGUGUGUGAUCCUUUCUUCCUCCACACUUUGGCCUUUCAUCCCUUCAUCACUAGUAUUUCUAUAAUAUUUAUAUAAUAAUAUUGACUUUGCCUCAUGUUUAAUCCCUCUGAUUUAUGUUUUUCUCAGUUUCAGGAUGGCUUUCUUUUCUUCUGAAGAUGUGUUUUUAACAGUGAAUAAUGGAGUGUAUGGAUGUGUAUUUAUUUAUAUCUGUGUGAGUUCUAAAGUGCAACAGAGAGAUUAUUAUCAUUAUUACAGUUAUGAUGAUGUUCUCAUGGCGUAAUCAGUGCUGUUCGCUGUUACACUGCUGUAUCCUGGGUAACGUGUGUGUGUGUGUGUGUGUGUGUGUGUGUGUGUGUGUGUGUGUGUUUGUGUGUGUUAUCUUAUCGCAGGAGAGACUGGGUGUGGUUUAUGUGCACAGGGUUAGGUGUAAGAACAAAACUCAGCACACACACACACAAUUAGGAGCCUUCAUUGGUCACCAUCUCACAUACAUUCAGAGCCACAAUAUUAUGUUAAUUAAGUAUAAUCACAUUUUAAACUUUACUUGAUGUUAAACACGUGUGUAAUAAACCCUUUUUUUAAAAAAUCAGCCAUAAUUCCUGCUUUGUGUGUGAGACAAUAAUUAACCUUCUGUUCAUACAGGAAUUUUUAUUAGACUAUUAAACCCUCAUCCUGUCUGUGUGGAGAGUCCAGAGUCUGUGUGUGUGUGUGUGUGUGUGUGUGUGUUCAGUAUUAUACCUAUAAUAAAGCUGACCUAGCAAAUGUGAAUUGAUCACAACUGAUUAACACUCAUUAAGUGAUUGAGCUGUACACUGAGCUCUGAUUGGUCAGUCGGGUGUGUGUCGGUGCCCUGUGCUGCUCUGAAAAGUACUAUUUUUUAACAUUUAAACUCAUCCUGAUUCUGAUUACACACAUACACACAAUGGUGGUGAUUAGUCACAGAUGAAGGUCUAUGGCAUAAUUUGUGUUUGUUGAAGCUAUAAAACCUUUAAAUGAAUUUUAUUUCUCUAAACGAAACAUUAUUUAUUAGUUUAGUUCCUCAGUGGAAUCCUUCAGGUCUGAUGUAGAAACUUAAUGAGUUUAAUGAGGGUUCUGCUUACAAAAUUCUGAAUAAAUUGACAAAAAAUACAAUGAUGAGCUGUGUGUGUGUGUGUGUGUGUGUGUGUGGAGGGCUGGGCCUUGUGUUAGUUAAAUAUUGAUGUGGUGUGUAAUGAUUAACAUGAAUUCAGUUCCACAUUACAUUAACCUGCUGCUCUCAGUCACACACUCAUUCUCUUACUGAGCGCCUGAAACUUCACUCUGCUGCUGCUACAGGCUGUGUGUGUGUGUUUGUGUGUGUGUGUGUGUGUGUGUGUGUGUGUGUGUGUGUGUGUGUGUGUGUGUGUGUGUGUGUGUGUGUGUGUGUGUGUGUGUGUGGAGAGUGAGAGUGAGAGCAUGUUUCUGAAACUCCUCAAAGGAAACAGUACUGAAGUGUGAGUGUGGGGCAGCGACAGUGACCCAGUGGUUAAGGAGCUGCGUUACUGCUCAGCAUGACAUGGCUUCAAGUCCCAUCUCUGCUAAAGUGCUCCUGCUGGGCUCUUGGUUAUGGCCCUUAGCUCGCUGCACUUCAUAAUGAGCUGAAGAUACAGAAUGUGCUGUAAUGUAGCUGUGACGACCAAAGGCUUCUUCUUCUAACAGAGAAUGUAUUGACCAAUGAGAAUCACUGAGAACAUGAAUCAUAUAACUGUAUAUUAAUCAGUAGGCACUGCUGAUUGGGCGGCUGGGUGAUGACCUAUGAAUUGACAGCCAGUGUUUUCAGUUGGACUGCCUGUCAGUUCUGUAGGCCACUGCACGGUCCACCCACCCACCCACCCACACACACACACACACACACACACAAAAACAUAAUAUUCAUUGUGUUUGUGUGAUUUGUGUAUUAAAUUGUGCAUUGUGUGUAAAAUAUCACCUGGUACACAGCCUGUGUGUUAGUGAAGAUGGUCAUUAUAUGUAAUGAUUGUAUGUAUCUAUAUGAUUGUGUUCUGGAGUGUAUAGAGUUCAUGUCGGGCCUUUUAUGUUUGGAAACCUCAAAUCUACAUCAGCUCCUGUGUAUUUAAUAAAACCUGCACACUUUUCUGUCUCUCCGUCUAGAGAAUAAGAUUAAUUAUUAGAGCAGAGCCUGAGUUCAUAUCAGAGGGAAUUUCAGUGCUUUGAAAUGAGCAGGAGAGAAUCGCUGUAUUCUAACUUUAAUGUUGGAAAAAGAAUUCUAAAAUAAAAAAUAAAUAAAAAUGUUUGUUUAGCA